rnacentral:rRNA from 1 species
CCUACGGGGGGCAGCAGUCGGGAAUAUUGCGCAAUGGAGGAAACUCUGACGCAGUGACGCCGCGUAUAGGAAGAAGGUUUUCGGAUUGUAAACUAUUGUAGACAGGGAAGAAGAAAGACAGUACCUGUAGAGUAAGCUCCGGCUAACUACGUGCCAGCAGCCGCGGUAAUACGUAGGGAGCAAGCGUUAUCCGGAAUUAUUGGGUGUAAAGGGUGCGUAGACGGGAAUACAAGUUAGUUGUGAAAUCCCUCGGCUUAACUGAGGAACUGCAACUAAAACUAUAUUUCUUGAGUGCGGGAGAGGAA